UACAGAGGUCUCAAGCGUUGUUCGGAUUCAUUGGGCGUAAAGGGUGCGUAGGUGGCGCUGUAAGUCGGGUGUGAAAUUUCGGAGCUUAACUCCGAAACUGCAUUCGAUACUGCCGUGCUUGAGGACUGGAGAGGAGACUGGAAUUUACGGUGUAGCGGUGAAAUGCGUAGAUAUCGUAAGGAAGACCAGUGGCGAAGGCGGGUCUCUGGACAGUUCCUGACGCUGAUGCGCGAAAGCCAGGGGAGCGAACGGG
rnacentral:rRNA from 1 species